rnacentral:rRNA from 1 species
AUUGAACGCUGGCGGCAGGCCUAACACAUGCAAGUCGAACGAGUGGCGGACGGGUGAGUAAUGUCUGGGAAACUGCCUGAUGGAGGGGGAUAACUACUGGAAACGGUAGCUAAUACCGCAUACCAUCGGAUGUGCCCAGAUGGGAUUAGCUAGUAGGUGGGGUAAAGGCUCACCUAGGCGACGAUCCCUAGCUGGGCUGAGAGGAUGACCAGCCACACUGGAACUGAGACACGGUCCAGACUCCUACGGGAGGCAGCAGUGGGGAAUAGUGCACAAUGGGCGCAAGCCUGAUGCAGCCAGGCCGCGGGGAUGAAGAAGGCCUUCGGGUUGUAAAGUACUUUCAGCGGGGAGGCGGUACCCGCAGAAGAAGCACCGGCUAACUCCGUGCCAGCCGCCGCGGUAAUAC